CUUCUCAGACUUGGGAGAAGAAAGCUGCUUCUCUAUGCAGGGGAGCUCCUAGGGACUUGGAGUUCCACAGUUCUUCGUGUCACAUGAACCCAAGCAGAAGUUCCUGUCCAACUCUCAGAAUUCACAGUGAAGCCGUGAAUUCAGUUUACACUAUAACUCAUACAACUGAAUUUUGGUUUUGAUUUGCAGCAAAAUUAUCUCUCUGGCUACAAGAAAUAAGAAGAUAUUUAGGUUUUCAUAGGACCACUCCAGUUCUCUGUGACUUUAUCCAAGUUAAUUGAGGCUUUUGUUUUUUCUACAGAUGCUCCAGAAAAAUCACAAGAAUCCACCCCAUUACCACAGCAUCACAGUCCUCCUGACUUUGUGUGUCAAGAGCAGCAACCCAUUAUUUACUGAAAAUGCUCUCUUCAGUUGUAGUUUAUCUUAAUCAAGCACAGCUUUUUGAAAUACUUCUCAUAUCCACAGAGGACAGCAUCCUUCCCAAUGAGCAUCUCAGACAUAGCUGGAAGAGAAAAAAGGAAGCAUAGCCUAGAAGGCAGGAGCAAGGGCACAUGGAGCAUCCUGGACAAGCAAUUGUACUCUGGACACUGACCCAGCUUCAAACAAGGAGUUUCUCCUGGUUCCAGGCCCGAGGCGCUUAAUAACUCCUAUCCAGGAUAAAUUCUAGCUGAUUCUCGUGGAGUUCUGUGAAGGCACCUUCCCUCCUUGAGUAAUCCUGCAGGAACAAAGAUGGUACUACUGGCAAAUGUUAAGUCAUCACAGUACUUUAGUGACUCUUUUCUGCUUCUUGGUGGAUUGUAUUAACUCUACAAGUCUUUGCACCUGGCCUCAAAGAAGUUUGAUCUCAAAUCUCAGAGGCUGGCAAGAUGUAAACAAAAGUCUAAACAUUACCUGAUGCCUUCCUGCACAGCUGAACUUGGCGUUACUCUUGGGUUCUGUAGGUCCAUUCCGUGCAUGCCAACGUCACCUCCUAGCUGUUUCAUCAAAGACUCAGAAAAUGCUUAUGUUUUGAACAUUCAGUUUCGUUUUAUGGCUUUGAUCAACAAUUCAUUCUCAUCUUUCUCUACAUUUGUCUUUAUUGCUAUCUGACUUUCUUCCUUGUGAGGUUUUUUGUAUUAAUUUGUACUGUGUGUGACUUUUGAGUCCUGGGUCCUACACUUGAAUUAGAGCAGAGUUCUGCAACAGUUCUAAAGAAAUUCUGAUCUCAAUAAAAUCGAAUAUUAAUAAGAGGAUGGAGGGAGGGAGAAAAGAAUAUAACAAAGAAAGUUUUACUUUUAUAUGGAUUUUUGAUUUACAGGGUUUCAACAGUCAUUAUCCUAAUAUUAUAAAGACACAGAGAGUAUACACCAUUAGUCAGUCCUUGCCAUCUUUAAUCACUUCUUGUGGUAAUGUAGAUUAGUGAUUGGAUCCCAUUAUUUGAUUUCAACAAAUAAAAUGGAUUGAUGGAAAUACAAAUAAUGGUUUUGACACAGCAUAGAUUAAUAAAAAUUGUGUAAUGCUUAUAAAUCUCAAUUUUAUAUGCUAUGACAUAGGGAAAAUAUUUAUCAUAAAACAUAAAUUAAUAACUAUCAAAGUAAGGAUAACGUCUUGCCUGUGGAUACAUUUUUUGGAUUGAAGUGUUUUUUUCUUUUAAUAGUUAGUGAAAAUAACAAUAAUACAUAAAAUUUAACCUUCUGAAUUCAGAUUCCUUCUGAAUCUGACCAACUAAUGAUGCUUUUCAUUUCUGCAAUUAUUUUUCAGGUAAUUUUCUUGAGUUUUCUAAUUAUAUUUUCACAUCAGAAAAGUAUUAAACUGUUAC